UUUAUGGUGGCAGAACAAUGCCUGAGCUUUAAGCGCUCAUCAUGGUCAUCCAGGCCCCAUUUCC
rnacentral:tRNA from 1 species